rnacentral:rRNA from 1 species
AUACCAGCACCCCGAGUGGUCGGGACGAUUAUUGGGCCUAAAGCAUCCGUAGCCGGCCUUACAAGUCCCCCGUUAAAUCCAACUGCUUAACAGAUGGGCUGCGGAGGAUACUAUAAGACUAGGAGGCAGGAGAGGCAAGCGGUACUCAGUGGGUAGGGGUAAAAUCCGUUGAUCCAUUGAAGACCACCAGUGGCGAAGGCGGCUUGCCAGAAUGCGCUCGACGGUGAGGGAUGAAAGCUGGGGGAGCAAACCGGAUUAGAUACCCGGGUAGUCCCAGCUGUAAACGAUGCAGACUCAGUGAUGGACUAGCUUUAUGCUGGUCCAGUGCCGCAGGGAAGCCGUUAAGUCUGCCGCCUGGGGAGUACGGUCGCAAGACUGAAACUCAAAUGAAUUGGCGGGG